rnacentral:rRNA from 1 species
AAUAGAUACCCGGGUGGUCCACGCCGUAAACGAUGAGUGCUAAGUGUUAGGGGGUUUCCGCCCCUUAGUGCUGCAGCUAACGCAUUAAGCACUCCGCCUGGGGAGUACGGUCGCAAGACUGAAACUCAAAGGAAUUGACGGGGGCCCGCACAAGCGGUGGAGCAUGUGGUUUAAUUCGAAGCAACGCGAAGAACCUUACCAGGUCUUGACAUCCCAUUGACCACUAUGGAGACAUAGUUUUCCCUUCGGGGACAACGGUGACAGGUGGUGCAUGGUUGUCGUCAGCUCGUGUCGUGAGAUGUUGGGUUAAGUCCCGCAACGAGCGCAACCCUUGUUCUUAGUUGCCAUCAUUUAGUUGGGCACUCUAAGGAGACUGCCGGUGACAAACCGGAGGAAGGUGGGGAUGACGUCAAAUCAUCAUGCCCCUUAUGACCUGGGCUACACACGUGCUACAAUGGACGGUACAAACGAUUGCCAACCCGCGAGGGGGAGCUAAUCCGAUAAAACCGUUCUCAGUUCGGAUUGUAGGCUGCAACUCGCCUACAUGAACG